rnacentral:rRNA from 1 species
GAUGAACGCUGGCGGCGUGCCUAAUACAUGCAAGUCGAGCGAACAGACGAGGAGCUUGCUCCUCUGACGUUAGCGGCGGACGGGUGAGUAACACGUGGAUAACCUACCUAUAAGACUGGGAUAACUUCGGGAAACCGGAGCUAAUACCGGAUAAUAUAUUGAACCGCAUGGUUCAAUAGUGAAAGACGGUUUUGCUGUCACUUAUAGAUGGAUCCGCGCCGCAUUAGCUAGUUGGUAAGGUAACGGCUUACCAAGGCAACGAUGCGUAGCCGACCUGAGAGGGUGAUCGGCCACACUGGAACUGAGACACGGUCCAGACUCCUACGGGAGGCGGCAGUAGGGAAUCUUCCGCAGUGGGCGAAAGCCUGACGGAGCAACGCCGCGGGAGUGAUGAAGGUCUUCGGAUCGUAAAACUCUGUUAUUAGGGAAGAACAAAUGUGUAAGUAACUAUGCACGUCUUGACGGUACCUAAUCAGAAAGCCACGGCUAACUACGU